rnacentral:rRNA from 1 species
CCUACGUGUGGCUGCAGUGGGGAAUAUUGGACAAUGGGCGAAAGCCUGAUCCAGCCAUGCCGCGUGUGUGAAGAAGGCCUUCGGGUUGUAAAGCACUUUCAGUGGGGAAGAAAGCCUUGGGGCUAAUACCCUCGAGGAAGGACAUCACCCACAGAAGAAGCACCGGCUAACUCCGUGCCAGCAGCCGCGGUAAUACGGAGGGUGCGAGCGUUAAUCAGAAUUACUGGGCGUAAAGCGCGCGUAGGCGGUCUGAUAAGCCGGUUGUGAAAGCCCCGGGCUCAACCUGGGAACGGCAUCCGGAACUGUCAGGCUAGAGUGCAGGAGAGGAAGGUAGAAUUCCCGGUGUAGCGGUGAAAUGCGUAGAGAUCGGGAGGAAUACCAGUGGCGAAGGCGGCCUUCUGGACUGACACUGACGCUGAGGUGCGAAAGCGUGGGUAGCAAACAGGAUUAGAUACCCCGGUAGUC